rnacentral:rRNA from 1 species
GAUGAACGCUGGCGGCGUGCCUAAUACAUGCAAGUCGAGCGAACAGACGAGGAUCUUGCUCCUUCGACGUUAGCGGCGGACGGGUGAGUAACACGUAAGUAACCUACCUAUAAGACUGGGAUAACGUCGGGAAACCGGAGCUAAUACCGGAUAAUAUUUCGAACCGCAUGGUUCGAUAGUGAAAGAUGGCUUUGCUAUCACUUAUAGAUGUACCUGCGCCGUAUUAGCUAGUUGGUAAGGUAACGGCUUACCAAGGCAACGAUACGUAGCCGACCUGAGAGGGUGAUCGGCCACACUGGAACUGAGACACGGUCCAGACUCCUACGGGAGGCAGCAGUAGGGAAUCUUCCGCAAAGGGCGAAAGCCUGACGGAGCAACGCCGCGUGAGUGAUGAAGGUCUUCUGAUCGUAAAACUCUGUUAUUAGGGAAGAACAAACGUGUAAGUACCUGUGCACGUCUUGACGGUACCUAAUCAGAAAGCCACGGCUAACUACGUG